rnacentral:rRNA from 1 species
GAUGAACGCUGGCGGCGUGCCUAAUACAUGCAAGUCGAGCGAACGGACGAGAAGUUUGCUUCUCUGAUGUUAGCGGCGGACGGGUGAGUAACACGUGGAUAACCUACCUAUAAGACUGGGAUAACUUCGGGAAACCGUAGCUAAUACCGGAUAAUAUUUUGAACCGCAUGGUUCAAAAGUGAAAGACGGUCUUGCUGUCACUUAUAGAUGGAUCCGCGUUGCAUUAGCUAGUUGGUAAGGUAACGGCUUACCAAGGCAACGAUGCAUAGCCGACCUGAGAGGGUGAUCGGCCCCACGGGAACGGAGAGACGGUCCAGACUCCUACGGGAGGCAGCAGUAGGGAAUCUGCCGGAAUGGGCGAAUGCCUGACGGAGCAACGCAGCGUGAGGGAUGAAGGUCUUCGGAUCGUAAAACUCUGCUAUUAGGGAAGAACAUAUGUGUAAGUAACUGUGCACAUCGUGACGGUACCUAAUCAGAAAGCCACGGCUAACUACGUG